rnacentral:rRNA from 1 species
GACGUAGGGCGCGAGCGUUGUUCGGAUUUACUGGGCGUAAAGGGCGCGUAGGCGGCCAUUCAAGUCAGGCGUGAAAAGCCCCGGGCUCAACCUGGGAGGUGCGCUUGGGACGGGGUGGCUGGAGUUCGGGAGAGGAGCGUGGAAUUCCCAGUGUAGAGGUGAAAUUCGUAGAUAUUGGGAAGAACACCGGUGGCGAAGGCGGCGCUCUGGACCGAGACUGACGCUGAGGCGCGAAAAGCGUGGGGAGCAAACAGG